UGGGGAAUAUUGGGGCAAUGGGGGCGCAAGCCUGACCCAGCAACGCCGCGUGAAGGAAGAAGGCUUUCGGGUUGUAAACUUCUUUUGUCAGGGACGAGUAGAAGACGGUACCUGACGAAUAAGCCACGGCUAACUACGUGCCAGCAGCCGCGGUAAUACGUAGGGGGCAAGCGUUAUCCGGAUUUACUGGGUGUAAAGGGAGCGUAGACGGAACGGCAAGUUUGAAGUGAAAUACCCGGGCUUAACCCGGGAACUGCUUUGAAAACUGUCGAUCUAGAGUGUCGGAGAGGUAAGUGGAAUUCCUGGUGUAGUAGUGAAAUGCGUAGAUAUCAGGAAGAACACCGGAGGCGAAGGCGGCUUACUGGACGAUAACUGACGUUGAGGCUCGAAAGCGUGGGGAGCAAACAGGAUUAGAUA
rnacentral:rRNA from 1 species